rnacentral:tRNA from 1 species
GGGGCCGUAGCUCAAUCGGUUAGAGCGCCGGACUCAUAAUCCGUCGGUUCUGGGUUCGAAUCCCAGCGGCCCUA